rnacentral:tRNA from 1 species
CGGGGCAUAGCGCAGUUUGGUAGCGCAUCUGCUUUGGGAGCAGAGGGUCGCAGGUUCAAAUCCUGCUGCCCCGACCA